rnacentral:rRNA from 1 species
UACGGGAGGUAGCAGUGGGGAAUAUUGCACAAUGGGCGCAAGCCUGAUGCAGCCAUGCCGCGUGUAUGAAGAAGGCCUUCGGGUUGUAAAGUACUUUCAGUCGUGAGGAAGGUGUUAAGGUUAAUAACCUUAGCAAUUGACGUUAGCGACAGAAGAAGCACCGGCUAACUCCGUGCCAGCAGCCGCGGUAAUACGGAGGGUGCGAGCGUUAAUCGGAAUUACUGGGCGUAAAGGGCACGCAGGCGGUUAAUUAAGUUGGAUGUGAAAUCCCCGGGCUUAACCUGGGAAUGGCAUUCAAGACUGGUUAGCUAGAGUCUUGUAGAGGGGGUAGAAUUCCAUGUGUAGCGGUGAAAUGCGUAGAGAUGUGGAGGAAUACCGGUGGCGAAGGCGGCCCCUGGACAAAGACUGACGCUCAUGUGCGAAAGCGUGGGGAGCAAACAGGGAUUAGAUACC